GAAAUCAUACUCAGUUGGUUUAAUGGUAGAAUUAAAGGCCAAAUCUGCCAUACAGUAAGUAGUACAUGAAGCCAGGAGAAAGGAUCCAGCAUACAAACCAUGACAGAAUACACACACAUUUUGGAGAUGCAUGCUUUCUCAAAGCUCUGAGGACCAUCAUGAAGACAUAUUAACUGAAAGAAUAUGAAGCGAUGUGAAUAGUUCCUAACUAUUGGAGCUAUACAAGAAACAUGACACCAAACUGUGGUUGUCUUCUGGUGAAGAUCUCAGAAGUUUCCACUCAUGGCAAAAGGUGAAGGGGAGCCAGCUCUAGGUAAAGAAGGAGCUAAUGAAGAAAAAGAAACAAGCUGUCAAGAGGUGGGAAGGGAACCAGGACAACACAACAUCAUGUCAGACAAUAAAAUAGUGUAAUUUCAAGAAUGAACAGUGGCCAAUAGCCCUUUCGGCUGCAGAAGAAUCAAAGAGCAAGAGAAACAGGAAAAGGCCUUUAACUUUGUGAUUACGAUGUCAAAGGUGACCUUCCAGGCAUUACAACAUAUCAACUGAAAGAAAGUGAAUGUGAUCUAGAGAGAGAAUUCUACAACAUGACCCGAUUAGCUUAAUGGCUCAAAUCACUAAAAUCAUACAGAUUCUUGGUAAAUCUUAAGCUGAUAAAUGUUACUUCUGUCAGAGAUCAUGGAAGGGAAUGCUAAUACCUCAGGAAAACAACAGAUUACGCGUCCGUGUAAUUUAUACCAUAUGCAUAGUCUUUGUUUCAACGAUGUUGGUAAUAUUAAUGCAACGUUGAUAAAAGUAAACACCC
rnacentral:lncRNA from 1 species